rnacentral:lncRNA from 1 species
GGAGGAGGAAAUAAAUAAAUAAAACAAUCACCUCCGCGCCAAUAAGAGCGAGGGAGAGAGCAAGACGCGACCAGAGAGCCACCGGGGCCCGCUCGCGCGCCUCUGAGAGGCUGUCCGCGCGCGCGCGUGUGUGCGUGAGUGUGGAUUUGCCGGGACUGGAGCUGGAAAGUUCAAACUAAACGUGUUGCUCUCGCCGAGUGCCGAGGCCGCGGCGGAGGCUGCCCAACUUCCCCGGGCCAAGUGAGUGGCGUUGCCCAGCGCCUUUGGCGAGGCGGCGGCCGCUCGGCCCUGCGCCCGGCCGCGGCGGCGGCGGCUCCGCUCGCCCCGGGAGGGAGCCCGCGGCCAGGGCUACAGAUUACAUAGAACUGGACAUAUUUAUUUGAUAGUAAGAUGCAUACAAUUUUUAUUUUUCAGACUUGAAUGAAGUGAUCAUGUAAACUAGAGAAAGGAGAUUAAAAAUAACCUCUGGGGACCAUAUGACUCAUACAGAUGACUUACAUGUUUUAUUGGGUUUCUAUCUUUUUAUUUCUGCAGUGAAAAUGAAAGGUGGUGAAACUGGAGGCAAAAAAAAAAUGAAGCAAAGAUGCUUUUAUUUUCUUUACUCUGAAGUUAUUUUGCCGGUAGAAAAAUGAGGGAACAUUGAGAUAAUAAAAGAGCCUGCAGCUGUGAAGAAAAGCUCUCAGAAUUCUCAAAGACAAGAGCACAUAGUCUGAGAGGUUUUGCCACUGACAUUGCUAAAUUUGAAAACUCCAAAAUUCUUUCUGCAAUGUGUGAAGAGGACUAAGACUAAAUAUUAUAAUUGUUAAUAAAC